AAAAACACAUUAUGCAUGUAUACAAUAUGAUAUCAAAAAUUAUUAAACAAUGUUUCCCCUAAGAGUCCAGCUGUUUAUUAAUCAGUCUGAUAAAUUUGCAUAAAUGAUUCAACAUACUGAUGUUUCUAGUAUUCAUCAAAUCAUGAAAUUUCAAUAUGUUUGGUCUAUUUAGAUAAUAUGGUUUCAAAAUGUUUUUUCUAUCAUGAUUAAAUUUCGAACAUUUAAAAAUAUAGUGGAAUUCAUCCCCAAUAUCUCCUGAAUUACAUAGUUUACAAUUUCGAUUUUCUCUAGGUACAUUUUUCCACCUUCCAGUUUCAAUAGGAAGUUUAUGACUGAGUAUCCUGAAUCUACAAAAAGUAAUAAUAUUUUUAUCAUCUAGGAUCUUAAAAUAGUUUUCU
rnacentral:lncRNA from 1 species